CUGGUACAAGCUGUCAACAACCGGUGUGGUUGUUAGAUACAUGUAGUGAUAUUUGUAGUUAAUCGAUCACAAACUGUGAUUCUGUAGCUGGCAAACAUCUAUUAUUGAGCAGAGAUGGAAGCGACUGAAAAAAAUAAUGCAUGUAACAGUAGCGAGUUUAGAAGAAGCGAGUUAUCAGACACAGAACUCGAGAUUGUGGGGCAACCCUACUCCAUCUCGGUGCUCAAAGUAGGCUAUUGUCUGUCCGAACAGGACGGUUCUUUUCGAGCAGACGGGACUAUCUCUCUCCUAACGGGACCUAGAACUAUUCUAGUAGACACCGGAGGACCGUGGGACCGGGACUUUCUAGUGAAAAGGCUGAAGGAUAAGCGACUAGACCCGGGUGAUAUCAGUUUGGUGGUGGGGACACACAAUCACUUCCUUUUUGGUGGUUGUAGAAUUUAAGAGCUCUUUUCUGGAUUUUGAUAAUUAGCAGUCCACAAUUCAGCAGCCUAAUAACCACAAUAGCCGGUCUCCUAAGAUGAAGGAGAAGGACCAUCACCAGAGGUCGGAGGACAGAGGCUCAGAACCCUGGAACAAGCCCAACCUCAGUGACAAGCAGGCUGUCUUCUAUGACAUAUGACACCCUAUUCCCUAUAUGGUGCCCUAUUGAUAAAAUAAUUUGUAUGUUUAAAGAUAAUAAUUAAAUAAUUCCACUCUAAAACCAUAUAAUUGUAUGAAAUGUAUUAUAAUCAUAAAACUAUAAUCUGAUGAUGUGUGUAGUUUUAGUCAGAAUUAGAACGAGGACCUUUUGU